UUGAAUUCAGAAUCCCCCAAUUCUCCUCUCAAAAAAUCUCGCAUGAUUGUCAUGUUCUCUCAUUUUUUCAAAUGAAUUUAAAGCUAGUGAAUAUAUGAGGCUAUAAUUUUAGAUAAAAGCACAAAGCUUUACUGGUAAAAGAUGUUAAUUCUUGCCACUAAGCCAUUUUAUGUAGGUUCCUGCAUAUCCAGUCACAAAGAUGCACCUAUUGCUAUGUUAGAGUUUAAAAGAUUUCAUACACUGUUACAAAGUAUGAACUAAAUAUGUCUGCAAUACCUUGUGAAGUAACACUCACUUAUUCAUGUUUGUUUGUUUGUUUGUUUUUAUUUCGCUGUAUUUUAUUUUAUUUUAUUAUUGCUUUCCCAUAUCUCUUUGUAUUUCAAUAAGAAAGAGAAAGACAGAGUGAGGAAUCAGAAGGGUUAGAUGCUAGGGAGGAUCUAGGAAAACAUAUUGUAUGAAAAUUUUUAUAAUAAAAAAUGUCUUCUGUAAGUUUACUCUAAAUAAAUCUAUAGGACAUCAUUUUGAUUAAUGAUUGCUUUGUUACUGCCUCCCCCUGGUAUUGGGCCAACUCUAGAAACCAUAGUCCUGGGUUGUAUUUAAAAGCAGGGUGAGGACGUGGGCAAGCACCAGCACCAUCACUCUAGGGUCUCUGCUUCAGAUCCUGCCUUCAGAUUUAUGCCUUAAAUUCCUGCCCAGACAUGCCUCAUUAAUGGACUUUGACAAAGAGUUGUCAGAAGAAAUAAAUUCUUUCCACUCAUGAAAAAGAAAUCUAAAAAAGAAAAGAAAAGAAGAGAAAAUAAAAGAAAAAAAAGAAAAAAGAAUGCAGGAGAUAAUUUUAAGUUCAGCCAAAAAUGGCACAUUUACAUUACUCCCCCAAGCACCAAGAAUCAAUGACAUUGCUGAUGAAAAGGCAAACAGAUUUCUAGAAACUGCAACAUGUGUGAAGUUUUAUGAAACACAGUCUUCAGGGUGUCAGAACUAUGGACUGACAGCAGCUAUGGGUACUUGAGAUGACCUACAGGAGAUCCAGCCCCAAUCUGACAUAGAGGAUAUAGAUUAUCUCCAUCCCCAUCCCCCCAUAAUGAGGAAGUAUUAGCCAUUGAAAGUUACUGCAGGGCUCAGUUACUUUUUUUUUUUCUUUUGAGUAACUAACAGAUAGGUUAGUAUUCUCCUGCUCCAGUGGAUGGCCUACCACACAUAAAUUUAUGGGCAGAACCAGCUGGACUUUAUAG
rnacentral:lncRNA from 1 species